AAAGUUAUAGUCAACCAUGACAUUUGGGUUGCAUUCAAAAAGUGCUCCAUGCGGAGCUAACUUU
rnacentral:tRNA from 1 species